AGUGAACGCUGGCGGUAGGCCUAACACAUGCAAGUCGAACGGCAGCACAGUAAGAGCUUGCUCUUACGGGUGGCGAGUGGCGGACGGGUGAGGAAUACAUCGGAAUCUACUUUUUCGUGGGGGAUAACGUAGGGAAACUUACGCUAAUACCGCAUACGACCUACGGGUGAAAGCAGGGGAUCUUCGGACCUUGCGCGAUUGAAUGAGCCGAUGUCGGAUUAGCUAGUUGGCGGGGUAAAGGCCCACCAAGGCGACGAUCCGUAGCUGGUCUGAGAGGAUGAUCAGCCACACUGGAACUGAGACACGGUCCAGACUCCUACGGGAGGUAGCAGUGGGGAAUAUUGGACAAUGGGCGCAAGCCUGAUCCAGCCAUACUGCGUGGGUGAAGAAGGCCUUCGGGUUGUAAAGCCCUUUUGUUGGGAAAGAAAAGCAGCAGGUUAAUACCCCGCUGUUCUGACGGUACCCAAAGAAUAAGCACCGGCUAACUUCGUG
rnacentral:rRNA from 1 species